rnacentral:misc_RNA from 1 species
GUACUGAAUUAAAGCUUGAAAACCUCAUCUCCUCGCCCUUGUGCAUUCUGAUCCACGGUUGUCAGUUCUUGAUGAGAUGAAAACUGUACAUAUACACUUCUCCCCCUUAUGCUGGGCUGAACAUUUGAGUAGAAUUGCAUGGCAUUUACAGCUGCACCAAUUUCUUGCAUUUGCAGGAGGGCCUGAUUUUUUGCCCUAAGCAUUACAAGUUUGGUAAUGACUCCAAAGGGCUGAAAUAGCUGAAGCAAGUCAUUCUCUGAGAUCUCUUGGCCCACAUUGCGAACAUGAAUGACCUUUGACGGCUCAGUCAUUUUUUACCUUCAGAAACAGAGAGACA